GCGCCCGUAGCUCAGCAGGAUAGAGCAGCGGUUUCCUAAACCGCAGGUCGGAGGUUCGAAUCCUCUCGGGCGCG
rnacentral:tRNA from 2 species